UGGGGAAUAUUGGGCAAUGGGGGAAACCCUGACCCAGCGACGCCGCGUGGAGGAAGGAGCCCUUCGGGGUGUAAACUCCUGUUGUAAGGGAAGAAGGCAGUGACGGUACCUUACGAGGAAGCCCCGGCAAACUACGUGCCAGCAGCCGCGGUAACACGUAGGGGGCGAGCGUUGUCCGGAAUUACUGGGCGUAAAGCGCACGCAGGCGGAUGCGCGCGUCGGCUGUGAAAUGCACCGGCUCAACCGGCGCACUGCGGUCGAUACGGCGCAUCUGGAGUGCGGGAGAGGGAAGCGGAAUUCCCGGUGUAGCGGUGAAAUGCGUAGAUAUCGGGAGGAACGCCGGUGGCGAAGGCGGCUUCCUGGCCCGCAACUGACGCUCAUGUGCGAAAGCCAGGG
rnacentral:rRNA from 1 species